rnacentral:rRNA from 1 species
CCUACGGGAGGCUGCAGUGGGGAAUAUUGCACAAUGGGGGAAACCCUGAUGCAGCGACGCCGCGUGAGUGAAGAAGUAAUUCGUUAUGUAAAGCUCUAUCAGCAGGGAAGAAAAUGACGGUACCUGACUAAGAAGCCCCGGCUAACUACGUGCCAGCAGCCGCGGUAAUACGUAGGGGGCAAGCGUUAUCCGGAUUUACUGGGUGUAAAGGGAGCGUAGACGGCAGUGCAAGUCUGAAGUGAAAGGCAGGGGCUUAACCCCUGGACUGCUUUGGAAACUGUCAGGCUGGAGUGCUGGAGAGGUAAGUGGAAUUCCUAGUGUAGCGGUGAAAUGCGUAGAUAUUAGGAGGAACACCAGUGGCGAAGGCGGCUUACUGGACAGUGACUGACGUUGAGGCUCGAAAGCGUGGGGAGCAAACAGGAUUAGAUACCCGGGUAGUC